GAUGAAGAACGCAGCGAAAUGCGAUACGUAAUGUGAAUUGCAGAAUUCAGUGAAUCAUCGAAUCUUUGAACGCACAUUGCGCCCGCCAGUAUUCUGGCGAGCAUGCCUGUUCGAGCGUCAUUUCAACCAUCAAGCCCCAGGCUUGUGUUGGAGCCCUGCGGCUGCCGCAGCCUCCCAAAACCAGUGGCGGGCUCGCUAUCACACCGAGUGCAGUAGUUUACUCUUCGCUCAGGGCGUGUGGCGGGUGCUAGCCGUGAAACCCCCAACUUCUCAAGGUUGACCUCGGAUCAGGUAGGAAUACCCGCUGAACUUAAGCAUAUCAAUAAGCGGAGGA
rnacentral:misc_RNA from 1 species